rnacentral:rRNA from 1 species
CCCUUAGAUGUUCUGGGCUGCACGCGUGCUACAAUGGCGUUUCCAGCAAGUCUGCGAACCCGAGAGGGCCAGCGGAUCUUCGAAUUGGCGUCGUGAUCAGGACAGUCGAUUGCAAUUAUUUGACUCAAACGAGGAAUUCCUUGUAAUCGCGAUUCAUCAUAUCGCGCUGAAUACGUCCCUGCCCUUUGUACACACCGCCCGUCGCUCCUACCGAUUGAGCGAUCCGGUAAAUGUUUUGGAUUGGUGCCGGGGCGGCUAGCUGCCGGUCGCUACGAAAUUUUGUGAACCUUAUCGCUUAGAGGAAGGAAAAGUCGUAACA